rnacentral:rRNA from 1 species
UGCAGUCGAGCGAGGACUUCGGUCCUAGCGGCGGACGGGUGAGUAACGCGUGGGAACGUGCCCUUUGCUACGGAAUAGCCCCGGGAAACUGGGAGUAAUACCGUAUGUGCCCUUCGGGGGAAAGAUUUAUCGGCAAAGGAUCGGCCCGCGUUGGAUUAGGUAGUUGGUGGGGUAACGGCCUACCAAGCCGACGAUCCAUAGCUGGUUUGAGAGGAUGAUCAGCCACACUGGGACUGAGACACGGCCCAGACUCCUACGGGAGGCAGCAGUGGGGAAUCUUAGACAAUGGGGGAAACCCUGAUCUAGCCAUGCCGCGUGAGCGAUGAAGGCCUUAGGGUUGUAAAGCUCUUUCAGCUGGGAAGAUAAUGACGGUACCAGCAGAAGAAGCCCCGGCUAACUCCGUGCCAGCAGCCGCGGUAAUACGGAGGGGGCUAGCGUUGUUCGGAAUUACUGGGCGUAAAGCGCACGUAGGCGGAUUGGAAAGUUGGGGGUGAAAUCCCGGGGCUCAACCUCGGAACUGCCUCCAAAACUCCCAGUCUUGAGGUCGAGAGAGGUGAGUGGAAUUCCGAGUGUAGAGGUGAAAUUCGUAGAUAUUCGGAGGAACACCAGUGGCGAAAGGCGGCUCACUGGCUCGAUACUGACGCUG